rnacentral:rRNA from 1 species
AACGAACGCUGGCGGCAGGCUUAACACAUGCAAGUCGAGCGCCCCGCAAGGGGAGCGGCAGACGGGUGAGUAACGCGUGGGAACGUACCCUUUGCUACGGAAUAGCUCCGGGAAACUGGAAUUAAUACCGUAUGUGCCCUACGGGGGAAAGAUUUAUCGGCAAAGGAUCGGCCCGCGUUGGACUAGCUAGUUGGUGGGGUAAUGGCCUACCAAGGCGACGAUCCAUAGCUGGUCUGAGAGGAUGAUCAGCCACAUUGGGACUGAGACACGGCCCAGACUCCUACGGGAGGCAGCAGUGGGGAAUAUUGGACAAUGGGGGAAACCCUGAUCCAGCAAUGCCGCGUGAAUGAAGAAGGCCUUAGGGUUGUAAAGUUCUUUUGUCCGUGACGAUAAUGACGGUAGCGGACGAAUAAGCCCUGGCUAACUCUGUGCCAGCAGCCGCAGUAAGAC